CCCAGUCGGUGGCGGUAAAUGCACCGUUAAGUUGGUUUGCCAACCGCCAAAAAACAAAAGAAGAAGAAGAAGAAGAAGAAGAAGAAGAAGAAGAACAAGCUGCUCUUUGAAUUGUCUUAAAUCAAUCUGGAGAACAGGAUACGAUCUUACACAAACUUAAGUACCACUCCAUGCUGACUGUAUGUCAAAGUUUUGAUGAAUGUUCAUGGUGCUCCUAAACAUGAAAAGCAUAAGGAGGCGAGAAGUGAAUUGUGCUCCAAAAACCCAAAGAAUCGCCAUUGAAAGUUGACACCGCUGAUGGAGACCGUUUCGACUUGACGUGCUUCCGCCAUUUAAGAUCCAAACGACAGCAAGCAAGCAAGCAUCAUCACUAUCAGCGGCUGGCAAUAAAGCAGAACCAUGCACCCAGCAACACCUUUGAUCCUGGCCAUAUGGAGUUCCUUAGAGCUCAUUGGAGAAAAAAAAAAAAAAAAAUCAGUCACCUAAAUAUGAGCCCAUGACAAGCCCAGUGGAAAACGGGUGGGGGCGGAUCAGGGCGAAAAGCGGGUGCCCGGGAGUGAGGCGGCGUGUCAGGCUGAAGGCGAGAUAAGUGUGACCCCCAGAUGGCCGGAUAUCGCUCCUGCUAACGCUUUCAUUGAUUAAUUUCUCUCCUGAUUGGUUGUGAUUACUGAUAAAUAAAACAUGAUCUCUGAAUCUGAUGCAAAUCAGCUUCUGAGCUUUAGGGAAAUGUUGAUUGCUUUUUCAAAUCUGUUUAUUUCCACCCUUGUUGCCCUUAACUUUGUAUUUGACGUGGGACUUUGAGAGCGUGUUUUCAUCUCUCGCUUUCAUGCUGGAAGAGUGGGGAUUUAAACCCUCAAAGACGGCACUGAUAGCGACGGAAAAGUUCAAUGUUUUGACCAUCGGUUCUGGGGGAAAUCAAACAUUUUGGCCACUGGAGGAAUGUCUGCCGCAUUGUAAACACGGCUAGCUAAUGCUUGAUGUUUGAUAAUGCGCAACAACAUUUGCAAGAGUUUUCCGAUCGUUUCUGUUGUAAUGUAAUUAAUGGUAUGAAAAGAUUUAAGUUUAAUUUUCGUAUGUGUGUGUGUGUGGUUAUUUA